CUUCUUCUUCUUUUUCCGCGUUUGGUUCCGCCCCCAACCGCACAUUCUCCCCGACGGCUAACGUGCGCCGCUGCCACCGCCGGUCCUGCCCUUCGGCCGGCCGGCCGGCCGCUCUAUCUCCCAACGGCAUCGCCCGAGGCCGGUCGUCGCCAGGACUCGGCUUCUUUGGCCGGUGCCCGCCCUGUCCCAGCCCGCCGCCCGGUGCCAGGCCACCGCCAGCCCCUACACGCCCUCCGGCCUCCAGCCCAGCGACCUCGCACGCUUCUCCGAGGAGGUGGAGUGCUAGCUGCUUCUCUCCACUAAGCACUGUACCCGUACUUCUUUGCUUGUAGCCCAACGAGCAGGCCAACAGGCACACACGCUCAACUCCCUGCUCCUCUGUUUCUUUUUCCCCUCCCUGCUACCUACAGCGCUCAAGCAAGCUGCACUAAAUCCACGGAUGGGCCGCUGCCGGCGAACUGCUCGGUCAUGGUGCCGUGGCCGGCGAUCUGUAGUGCUAUGAGGGGACUCAAGAGGUGCGUGUGGAGGCUCAUAUGGCUGGGCUUCUAGCUGUACGUCGGUGCCGGAUCUUGUGGAUGCAGCUCCCGUGAGCUAGCUGUGCAGUGCUCUUCGAGGAUCAUCACCGAGGAGGUGGAGUGCUCCCUAUGCUGUCAGACGAGCUCGUCUGCUACUGCUAGACCAUCAAGGAGUUCCUGAUGUUCAACUGCAUUAUCAGAUAAUCGAGCGUUGUAAUUUGUGACAAAAAGUGGUGUUAAAUCUUUGGAUUCGACGGAUGAUGUAAGGAUAGAUGAUGUUGCAGUUGCAUCUCUUUGAUUGGAAUUUCAGAGUGUAAUCCAUUAUUUGUAGUGUAAUCCUUAUGUUUAUGUUUAAUCGAAGGACAAGAACCGUCUCUCGUAGUA